GUACACGCUGUGACUAGCAUAUCAAUAAGCGGAGGAAAAGAAACUAACUAGGAUUCCCUCAGUAACGGCGAGUGAAGCGGGAAGAGCUCAAAUUUGAAAUCUUCAAGGUUCCACCUUGACGAAUUGUAGUUUAAAGAAGUGUUUUCUGUUGGAGUUUUGGUAAAAGUUCUUUGGAAUAGGACAUCAUAGAGGGUGAGAAUCCCGUAUUUGACCAUUAUUUCCAGCUUUGUGAUACACUUUCAAAGAGUCGGAUUGUUUGGGAAUGCAGUCCAAAAUGGGUGGUAAAUUUCAUCUAAAGCUAAAUACUGGCGAGAGACCGAUAGCGAACAAGUACCGUGAGGGAAAGAUGAAAAGAACUUUGAAAAGAGAGUUAAACAGUACGUGAAAUUGUCAAAAGGGAAGCGUUUGACACCAGUGUUGUUUUCUCGAAAAUCAAUUAAAAAAGGCAGGAUUUUGUGUUGUAUUGACUUUAUCAGCUUUCUGCACUCUUUUCUUGUCUUUUUUAAUGCACUUUUCGUUUAACAAGUCAACAUCAAUUUCUUUUGUUGUAAAAGGGUCAUUGGAAGGUGGCUUUCUUUUCGGAGAAAGUGUUUAUAGCCUUUGGCCUCUGCAAUCGGAGAGAUUGAGGUCUGCAGCGUAGAUCCUUCGGGGUUAGAUACAUUUGUGCUAAGUUAUAGCCUUUCAUAGACAACUUGUUGACUAUGAUCAGUCAUGUAGCUUACUCGCUUAUGCUAUUUUACCUACGCUUAGGAUGUUGAAGACUCUACAGAGAUA
rnacentral:rRNA from 1 species